ACCUAAAUAGUUUAUUAAAACACUAAUUUGUGGCAUUAGAGAUGGUAAUAACCACUACCUUUAAGUC
rnacentral:tRNA from 1 species